CAUAGCUGUUUCUCAAUAUUACUUUCUCUAGUCCACAAAAUGUAUUUUAAACAUAAGUUCAGGCGAGAAUAUAUAUAUAUAAUGUUCAAAUUUGCAGUCGGUUUGUAAAGUGAACGCCAAUUUUAAAGUUUAAUUACACAAAGUCGGAAUGUUACCGGCGUGACCACCGGGUGUCAGUGUUGUUCUUCCCCAGAGAGAACUCCUCCCAUCCCCCCACACAGACGCGUCAUCUCAGCUGAACUCCUGGCUCUCACUGCAUGGAUACUUGACGCGGGAGUUUACCUCAGGAUUCAUGAACAGUUUUUCAUCGACUUAUUUCUGAUUUAUUUGAAGGAAAAGACCCUGAUGGAUAAAAGAUGGAUAUUUUUUCCUGGAGAAGCUAAAACAAUGUCACUUUGAGGUUCUGAUACCAGCUUUUACAAAGUUAUUUACAGAGUUCACCAGACUUCUCUGUGUUAUUUCCUGACCAUGCCGAAAAGCUAUUUGAAACUUGGGCAUUGCAUUUUCCAGACAGAAUCCUGCACUUCCCAGCCAAGAACCAGGAGCAUCAACAAAUCACCUCCAGAACCCCAUGAUGAUAUUCCAACUCCUGUCUACAAAAGUGGGAAGAAAAUCUUAAGUCUAUGUUGGGACCAACAUGGUUGCAUUCUUCUGAGAGGCUGAUGUGACAAAACCAUUCCCAUUUGUCCUUGGAUUGGAAGAUGGCGAUCUCUGCCAUCAAGCCUUCGUUGUUUUUGACAGACAGUCACUCCAGCAAUACACCCUCCUUGGUGAUGUUGACAUGUUUUAAACUUUUUUUUUAUGUUUUGGACAUUAAUUUUACCAAGCAGUGCACAUCAGUGUGGGUGUUUUUGAAGACUGUUGUUUACAAACUCCCAAGAACGGAAUCCCUUUCUAUAAGAAGUCUGUGUAGUUAUUUGUCAUGCUAAGGUGAUAACUGAUGUUGAUCAUAUAUUGACUGUUUGUGCAACUUUGUGUUGAUCUUAUGUGUUACAUUAACCAUUUCUUAUUACACGGUUCUCUAAAAUGCUAGAUUCUGAUUGGCCAGUCGUGACAUUCUACUACUGCUCAAAACUAAAAACUCCAAUGCUGCAAAUCAUUUUGACAGGUACUGUUUUAUAUUACACAAAAAUUAAAUAUCAAUGUCUAUUAAUUACAUAUCCGACAUUAAAUUUAUAAAUGAUUAAAUGUGUUCGUGACAUUUGUCCUGAAGAAACUGUUGGGGCUUUUUUCUGUGAUGACAUGCUGCCAAUACAUUAUCCCUUACUUGUACAACUUUUUACUUGAUCUAAUUGUAAUGUUAAUUGGGGAUCUGUCAUUUUAGAUUGUGAGAUAUAAUACUAAUAUAUUUUUUUAUUUAUAUAUAAUAUAUAAACGUAUGUAUGUUUAUUAAAAAGUGAAAAUGCUUAAUGGAAAUAAUUAAAUAACUAAAUGGUUGAAUGAAAUGAGACAUUUUAAAUGUAAACUAAAGUUUUGCUGUCUAAUACAGA